rnacentral:rRNA from 1 species
UUGGAGGGCAAGUCUGGUGCCAGCAGCCGCGGUAAUUCCAGCUCCAAUAGCGUAUAUUAAAGUUGUUGCAGUUAAAAAGCUCGUAGUUGAAUUUCGGGAUCAGUACGUUGGUCGUGCCUUAGGUACGUACUGGUGUUACUGGUUCCUACCUUCUGACGAACCAUCAUGUCAUUCAUUUGGUGUGGCGGGGAAUCAGGACUGUUACUUUGAAAAAAUUAGAGUGUUUAAAGCAGGCUCGCGCUUGAAUACAUUAGCAUGGAAUAAUGAAAUAGGACGUUGAUCCUAUUUUGUUGGUUUCUAGGAUUGACGUAAUGAUUAAUAGGGAUAGUUGGGGGCACUAGUAUUCAAUUGUCAGAGGUGAAAUUCUUGGAUUUAUUGAAGACUAACUACUGCGAAAGCAUUUGCCAAGGAUGUUUUCAUUAAUCAAGAACGAAAGUUAGGGGAUCGAAGACGAUCAGGUACCGUCGUAGUCUUAACCAUAAACUAUGCCGACUAGGGUUCGGAUGAUGUUAAUUUUUUAAUGACUCAUUCGGCGCCUUACGGGAAAC